rnacentral:rRNA from 1 species
UACGUAGGGGGCAAGCGUUUGUCCGGAAUCAUUGGGCGUAAAGCGCGUGUAGGCGGCCAUGUAGGUCCGGUGUGAAAACUCGAGGCUUAACCUCGAGAUGUCAUCGGAAACCAUUUGGCUAGAGUCCGGAGGAGGAGAGUGGAAUUCCCUGGUGUAGCGGUGAAAUGCGCAGAUAUCAGGAAGAACACCGAUGGCGAAGGCAGAUCUCUGGGCCGUAACUGACGCUGAGGAGCGAAAGCGUGGGGAGCGAACAGG